rnacentral:rRNA from 1 species
GCAUAUCAAUAAGCGGAGGAAAAGAAACCAACAGGGAUUGCCCCAGUAACGGCGAGUGAAGCGGCAACAGCUCAAAUUUGAAAUCUGGCUCUCGGGCCCGAGUUGUAAUUUGUAGAGGAUGCUUUUGGUGAGGUGCCUUCCGAGUUCCCUGGAACGGGACGCCAUAGAGGGUGAGAGCCCCGUCUGGUUGGACGCCGAACCUCUGUAAAGCUCCUUCGACGAGUCGAGUAGUUUGGGAAUGCUGCUCUAAAUGGGAGGUAUAUGUCUUCUAAAGCUAAAUACCGGCCAGAGACCGAUAGCGCACAAGUAGAGUGAUCGAAAGAUGAAAAGAACUUUGAAAAGAGAGUUAAACAGUACGUGAAAUUGUUGAAAGGGAAGCGCUUGUGACCAGACUUGGGCUUGGUUGAUCAUCCGGGGUUCUCCCCGGUGCACUCUUCCGGCCCAGGCCAGCAUCAGUUCGCCCUGGGGGACAAAGGCAUCGGGAACGUGGCUCUCUCCGGGGAGUGUUAUAGCCCGUUGCGUAAUACCCUGCGGCGGACUGAGGUUCGCGCAUUCGCAAGGAUGCUGGCGUAAUGGUCAUCAGUGACCCGUCUUGAAACACGGACCAAGGAGUCGUCUUCGUAUGCGAGUGUUCGGGUGUCAAACCCCUACGCGAAAUGAAAGUGAACGCAGGUGAGAGCUUCGGCGCAUCAUCGACCGAUCCUGAUGUUAUCGGAUGGAUUUGAGUAAGAGCAUACGGGGCCGGACCCGAAAGAAGGUGAACUAUGCCUGUGUAGGGUGAAGCCAGAGGAAACUCUGGUGGAGGCUCGCAGCGGUUCUGACGUGCAAAUCGAUCGUCAAACAUGGGCAUGGGGGCGAAAGACUAAUCGAACCUUCUAGUAGCUGGUUUCCGC